rnacentral:misc_RNA from 1 species
GUAGGUGAACCUGCGGAAGGAUCAUUACCGAGAUUUUUUUCCUGCUUGCAGGAAAAUCUCCCACCCUUUUGUGUAUCGAAAUUCCAAUACUUUGGUGAAGCGCUUGUUGAGCAUACGUGCUGAGCAACCAGUGACUCUUUUUUAAAAUGAAGAGUGGCUGUGUCUUUGCCAAAGGAAACUCGUAACUCUAUUUUUAAAUAUACUUGUCUGAGUUUAUAAAUUUUUUAAAAUAAACAAAACUUUCAACAAC